rnacentral:lncRNA from 1 species
CGAGAUCCAGCUAAUGGAAAAAUGUAACAAUAUUCCUGUGAAGACUGUCAGAAUUAUCAAUGUCUGAUGUCCAAUAGCCGAUCAUUAAUCAAUCAAUGCAUUUUAUUUAUUAAGGGUUUUGAUAUAGCUUUCACUUUUAUUUGCUUGUAUGUAUGAUACUGUAUUGAACAACGCAUGUAUAACUCUACAUGGACUUUGUCUUUGUAUGUGAGGGAUUGGAAAAAAUAAAGUUAAAAAAAAAAAUAAUAAUAAUAAAACAAUUCUAGUGGUGUCACUAAACAAAGUAAACUUUAAUUUGGUAUUUUGUAGUGUCUAUUGAUGUUUUCAUUAAUACGGUGAUAAAAGUGUACUCCAUUCCAAAUUAAAACAUAUUUUUAAGUAGCAAAAAUUCCAAAUGGGGAUGUAUAUAUUUGUUUUCAUUGAUUUUCAGUAAGGAUGGAUAGGGGAAAGCAUAUACUUCAAUUGCAAACACCACUGUAGUUUAAAUAUAUUUUACAUUCCAUAUAAUAAAUUGUAAUACAUCUGUUUUAUUUCAUGUUCUAGACUAAAAAACAAAACAAAAAUGGCAACAGUAGUGUGUUAUAUCUUUGAAAGUUUUACCACGAUUUGUAUAUUCUGUCUAUAAAAAGAAUUUACAUAAAAGAACUGCUGCUAGUAAUAACAACCUUGAUUUGAAAUAAAAUCUUAUUAAAAUAUGAAUCAUGUUUUGCAUGUAUUUUGUAACCACAAAUAAGAGUAUGUUUUUGUAUAUAAUUAUAUAUUUUAUUGGGUAUGAGGUAUAACAUACAAACAUGUACACUAACAUGUAAACAAGAUCAAACUGGUACAGUACAAUGUACAAAAAAGCGGAGAACUUGAGAGAAUAACAAAACAUAAUGAUACAAAACAUACAAAAAAUAAAAGAUACUAAACAUAACCAAAAGCACUAUGAAAUAUUGCUUAAAUUUAAAUUAUACAUUGAGUAUAAAAUACUCAAUUUGUUCAUUAAGGUUACUGAUAUAUUGAUACACAUCCGAUUAAAACAAAAGGCUUCUUUUCGCCAUCUUAGAUACAUAUAAGCAAAUAUGAAUAUAAUCAAGCCUGUAGGAACUACAAUUGAAAUGUGUGUGUGGAGGAGAACAUGGGGUUCUGUGCCCCCCUCCAUCUGGUUCGUACAGGCCUGAUGAUUAGUAGUAUAAUGUAGAUACUGUCAUCACAAAAGUGGUAUGUAAAAAGAGUUGUUCAAUUCGUACAGGCCUGAUGAUUAGUAGUAUAAUGUAGAUACUGUCAUCACAAAGUGGUAUGUUAAAAGAGUUGUUCAAUUCGUACAGGCCUGAUGAUUAGUAGUAUAAUGUAGAUACUGUCAUUACAAAAGUGGUAUGUAAAAAGAGUUGUUCAAUUCGUACAGGCCUGAUGAUUAGUAGUAUAAUGUAGAUACUGUCAUCACAAAGUGGUAUGUUAAAAGAGUUGUUCAAUUCGUACAGGCCUGAUGAUUAGUAGUAUAAUGUAGAUACUGUCAUCACAAAAGUGGUAUGUAAAAAGAGUUGUUCAAUUCAUACAGGCCUGAUGAUUAGUAGUAUAAUGUAGAUACUGUCAUCACAAAAGUGGUAUGUAAAAAGAGUUGUUCAAUUCGUACAGGCCUGAUGAUUAGUAGUAUAAUGUAGAUACUGUCAUCACAAAAGUGGUAUGUAAAAAGAGUUGUUCAAUUCGUACAGGCCUGAUGAUUAGUAGUAUAAUGUAGAUACUGUCAUCACAAAAGUGGUAUGUUAAAAGAGUUGUUCAAUUCAUACAGGCCUGAUGAUUAGUAGUAUAAUGUAGAUACUGUCAUCACAAAGUGGUAUGUUAAAAGAGUUGUUCAGGAAAAAGACAAUUUCAAAUUAAAUUUUUGCACUUGACAUUUGCUGUAAUAAAUCCAUUUUUGAACAUUAUGUACACUUUUCAAACAAGUAUUAUAAG